CGGUGCCUCGUCCCUGUGGGCUGCACCCGAUCUAACGAACAAGAGCUCUGAAAACAUCUAGCUCGCUCUCUCAACAUUUUAAAAGCAACAAGCCAAAAGCAAAAAAAGUCAUGGACGCCACUAAGAUCAUCGUUAUUUGCCUAUUGUGCAUCAUGGCCUUCGAAUCUGUCACAGCAAGGCCACACCGCAGGCGACGAGAUAUUGAAAUUGACACCGAUGGCGGCAUUCACACCUUUGAUGCUGCCGAAGAGAGUUCAGAAGACAUCGUCGGGAUUGAAAGAGAUGGACCAGUUUUAAGCCGGCGAAAGCGAAGCACGAUUGCCUUUAUGAUGGAUGCCUACCGACGACACUGCUUGCACAACCCCAGCGCCUGCCGAGACACCACGAGACGGCGCGGAGGCAGACGGCACUACAGUCGCAGGAGGCACGGUUACCUCAUCAUUGACAUGUAAAUUAUUAUAAUUUAUUCAAAAAUCACGUCAUCUUGAUCAAGAAACACGCCAUUUGAUGUCCAAAGUCCACUUUAUAUCGGCGAUCCGGAUUUUAUCACAAUUCGUGCGGAGGAAGAUCUGACUCAUUUAAAACUCCGUUCUCUGCCGACAAUACAUCGUCAAUUUCGACGAUUCCGAUUCAAGCCGACGCCACCUAACAUCGUUGUUUCCAAACCGAGCUUAGGCUGCAGAAGUUUAAAAGUGGGCUUUCAUCAACAACGGAACAUAAGAAUCAUGAAGCAAACAUGCUCUUCAUUUGUCGUUUUCUAACGUUCCAAUACUCCAUCGGUCACAGUUUAGCUUAUUGGACAUCAGUCAGGAUAUGUUCCGAGAAGUUUCAAAAGUAUCAGCAUCCCUCAUCAAAAAGGGACAUACCAUAGAUAUUGAGAACUAGGUUUGCGGAUACCAUGUUGUUUCAGUAAGUGCAGACAACAGAUGCACGACCGAUUAGGAGUAAUUACCUAGGGUAAUUGGCAUCAUAAGACCGCACUCUCACUGCUAGUGUGGUCUAAAUGAUCCUUUAAGCAGUGGUGAAAAACUGAUUGAACAGAGUCAGACGGGCGGUGGGAUCGUUUACCAAUCCAUGUUGCUAAAUAUACGAAACCGGCAUAUUACCUGUGUCUGUGGUAAUUUCAACUCAAAAACCUCUGUUGAACUGCGUUGUACGAAAUAAAAAACGACUUUAUUCUUACAAUUCAUAAAGUUGAGUAAUCGUCAAAGUGACAGAAAUGACAUCAUGCCUCUCUCACAACAAUGCAAUUCCCCAGUGACAAUCAGCGCCACCUGGCGGUGGUCGUAGUUCUACUGGUACCCUAAGAAAGUACAGGAGACCUAAAGUUGGUAAAGAAAACCGUCUGAGAUUUCUCGAGUUCGAGACAGAAACAAGAAUUUAUGUUUUUGUUCCCAGACAUAUUUUUCUGCUCCUAGACCUAAUCAAUCAAAGCAAGAACAAGAGUACACAUCGCAACAAAAUUGUGGUUACAGAUGAGCCCCGGAAUGAAAACAUCGAAACGGAACGAGAUAUAUAACCAGCGAGAUGCACUCAAACUGAAGUCGAUAUCUUAUAGCAAAAAUGGAAAUUCGGAAUUAUGGAUGGCACGAGUACAACCUCUCAGUUGGACAACGACAACGUUGUCAACGACUAACUUCCAUUUAAAGAGACCCUUUUAUUCCGACGAUUUCUAUUUAAUUUCAACCAUUUUCGUUGCGUUUCGUUUCAUUUUGGGUUUUAGCAGUAUCCACAAACUUGGUUUGAUAAAGUCUUGAUCAAAGCUACCAAAUAUAUCUAGAAGCCAAUAUCGUUGGUAGUCUUUAUAAAGCAAAAACCUGUUCGUUUGAUUCUGUUCAGUCUUGUGAUCUGUAAUUAAACAUAUUCUUAUUUAUUUGUGUGUUAGAAGAUGUUAAUGUUGUUAAUUAUGCCUAAAAUGCAAAUCAUGGGGUCGGUGCCUUUUCAUGGUGAAAACGUGUGGAUACAGGCAGCUUUUCUACCAAAAACUCUACGUUACAUAGAGUUUGCCAGUCAGCGAAACGUCUCUAUUUCUAUUUCAACGCAUUUUGCUGACUUUUGCAAAGAUUCAUGAUUCUUCAAAUACGUUUUAAAAUUGUAUUACCCGAUUAAAGGGACUUCCAUCUGUUGAUUUCGGCGGGGGGAGGGGGGAUUUUACCUAUUGCAGAAUUGCUCUAGAGGUCGAGGUGAGACGACGAGUACAUAUACUUUGCUUGUAACAUCGUCCCUCGCCAUAUCUAGUCAUAACUGUAGAGCAUCUGUGCAAUGUUUGCGAUGACCAACAAACAUAUGGGAAGCUUUUGUGUGGAUGUUGAUAUUGAGGUCAUAUUAAAUGAUGCCUUUUAAUGUUGUUGCAUAAAAUGCAAGAGUUUUAGAUUAAGUAAGAAAUGUCUUACCUAUUAUCAUACGCACAUGGCCUUCAUUGAAUAAAUGUGGGGCUUUGAAUUCACGCACAGCGAGAUCGCACGAGAUGUCAAUCAGAUUGGCGCAAUAUUGAACAGGCAGCCAUCUUUUCAUGACAUCACGUGACGAUGUCAUCAAAUCAAAAAGUCCAUUAUUUGGGACACUCUGUCAACUCCUGAUCACUAUUUUGACUUCUGCCUGAUCAAAGUUUUACUUCGGAUUACUUGAAAGAUAACUAAGAUUAUAAGAUUGCGUCACAUGCAACGCUCUUUAUAAAAUUAGUCGUACUCUGUAUGGUCGGGGUAAUUCCAUAUUCCAUUGAUUAAGAAAUCAUCUGAUCAUGAAAUCAACAAAAAAUCUAUUUGAAUAUGAACGCAUGUUGAGUUAUUAUCUUAUGGAAAGUUUACUACAUUGUACUUUGUCAAUGAUGGUUAUUUUGGGUACGAAUGCGGCGAACAAAAUGGCCGCCAUUUGUCUCUGGUGGCCAUUUUGUUGGCAACUAUUUUGAAACCGUGCUAAGUAUAAAGAUGUGCCAGUAAAAAAUGUUACAGUCGAAUGCAUCUAGUAUUGUUCGGCAUUAGAUGAUAAGGCUGGGGUCUCUCUCAUCAUGGACGAUUAAAGAAAGGCCGUAUUUCCGGCGUAUUUUGUUGAUGUGUUGUUGAUGUGUAUUUGGUGAAUAGUGAAGUAUCGCAUUUUGAGUGUAUAAGUACAGCUUAUAUGUGUAUAGAUAGAUUAAAUGAUAUUGGUAUGUAUUGUCAAUUAAAGGUCAGUGACCUUUAUUAUAUUUUUGUCUGAAGUACCAUUGUCUCUGGCUUUACGCUAGAACCUAGCCACUGCAUCCAGGCGCAAAUGGUUCGCGAACUAUCUGCGGCUGAGUGCCCAACAUAGGCUAUAACAAUAUGGCCGGAUUGUGAAAUUAUCUGAGAGAAGGUAUCUGUGUCAUUGCUACAUCUCCUGUAAAUUCUUUCUCGUUUCUUUCAUCAGUGAAUCUCAUCUACUGUGACUUCAGUCAGGAGCCAUUACAACGCGCCAUGUCAUGAAUAAAUUAUCAUAAUGUAACAGGUGCUGCCACCUAGAAGAAUUGUCAUGCCCCCGAUUGUUCCACUUGUAUGCAGAAAGUGUCACAAUAACUUAUAACACACAAAAUGGAGCCCAAGAAUAGGUAUAUUGUUUGUAAUUGUAUGAUCAUAUUGCUGUUGUUAGCAACUUAGAAAAGAUAAGUAUACAUGUAGUUUGGUCUGAAGUCUGAACUGUCUAUUUUAGAUGAAUUGAAACCUGACGAAAAUCUGACAGUUCAGCUUUAAACCGCCGCUUACGCUGAGAACUGAGACCCACUGCAUGGAUGUAAUUGUCUCAAGUUAUCAUGGUUAAAAGGAACUACUUAUUUUCUAACGAAUUCGAACGGUUAUGAUAAAAUCCUGGUCAAUGUUGUAUGAAUAUGGAUGUAUUUGUUGUGAUAGACCAAGGCUGUAGAAUUGAUGGUUAGAAAAAGCAUUUAAAAUGUGUAUUUUCAUAAUUUCUUUCUGUACCUGGCAUCUUUUUGUGAUUGCAUACCUUCUUUUAUCAUAUGAUCAAACAACUAUCGUUCCAAACCAAAAUAACCCUUGAUUGAAUAUGGCACUGAAUAUCAUGAACUAAAAUUAAUGGCAACCUUGAAUAUUUCGCUAUCUACGAUUUAUAGAGUUUGAAGAAAAUAGAAAGAGACAAUAAUGACACGUUGAUGGUUAAUCGGAACUCAUCAAUUCGGAACUCUCGCCUGAGACAGCGAAAAGAAGGAAGACGGAAAUAUGUUUUGGCUUAUUUGUUUGGAACCAGCUAGCUAAAUGCAGCAUAAUAAAACCUACAAGUGAGGUAAACUUGCAGGUGAACUGGAGCAAGAUGUUAUAUUUUGUUCUUAAACCAAGGUCAAGGUCACAUGGAGAGGUCAAGGUCACGGUUGUCUGGCGAUAGACUUCUUUAGUACGUGGUGCCACAUUUUGACAGCGUCUAUUGCAUAAAAUGCAUGGUUUUACUCAAAACGGCGAAUUGUCUGAAUUUUAACAACAACAAUGUCUGUCACCUUACUUCUUGGCCAACUUCUCCAUUGAUCAGGUCAGUACAAACCAAGUGACGUUCACAUUUAGUGACGUCACAUUACAGCGAAAUAUUUAAGUGUAACGGUAGAUUGUCAUACUAACCUUGGUGAUCCCGAAAGUUGCAUCUUUGGUGAAUUUGUUAAUAAUUGUCUUUCUUCAGCCGCUUUUAUGCCGGACCUGUUGUGAUGGUUGCAUACCUAAAAUUAACUUAAACGGUGGCUCGGAUUUUGAGAAUUCUAAAGUUACUGCAAUAACGGUUAUGUUCGAGCCAGGCGGUGGCAACACAAUAAUUUUCCAGUUUGUACAAAAUCAGAGGAUAAUUUACAAAAUGUAACGCUGUUGGAUGUUGCUCGCCUACUGUUAUCUUCUCCUAAAUGCACCGGUGGUGUGAUAAUUGAUGUAAAUACAGCAAUGGACAGUUGUCUCAUCCAACCAUUUGUCUAUGUUCUGUUUGCUCAGAACUCUCGAUCGUCACCAUUGAUCCUCUUGUCCGAUAGGCCUCCACCAGCGGCUCGUACAAAGCCGAAGUUGCAGUAUUUGGUAAAGAAUUGGGAGUUCCAUGGGGAACUGCGUAUAGUUCUCAAUUUACAGCCACUUUGUUAGAGAAUUGGAUGUUCAUAAAGAGCAUGCUAUUUACUUUAUUCACGAGGUGAACAUUUUGUGUCAGUCAGAUAGCAUAUGGUCUCCGUAAAUACACUAUUUAUAUUUCGUAAAA